rnacentral:sRNA from 12 species
UAAUUGAAUUAAAAAUUAAAUUACCUCGGUUAUAAAAGAGUUGAUAACUCUCCGAGACACUUCGUAUAAUGCGGUGAAAGAGAUAAGGAUACUUUCUCUUUUAACCGUUGGAAAUUUCGUGAGAAAUACGCCAAUAAGAGGAAACCUCAAAAAUUAAGAAGUGGUGCAGAGAGCUAUCGUAAUCAAAAAAGCAAGAACUCAAGGCGAGAGUAAUAGACGCUCUUGUGGAGAAUAAGCAUUAAACUUGUUGGGUGGAACCAAUAGAGUAAAUAAUGUAUUCCAAAAUAAUCUCGUUCGUCGUGAAGCGGAGAAAUCUGUGUAUAACUUGAGUAGCUUGGUCGAGUAGCCCAAAGACGAAUAUUACUAAUAUCUUUAAUAUUAUUUAUUGGACAUAAUGAAAGAAGAAAUUUUCUGAAUGUCGGGUGAAAGUUAGAAGUAACCAAUCUUCUACGAGUUUGUGAUGUGUGGUAUAAUUCCAUAUAACGGCUUAGUGUCCGUGUCUAGGGUAGGAAGUAUAGAGACGACGGUUUCUAUGCUCAGACCUAUCUUCUCGGUGCUUGAAAAUUGAUGCGAUAGUGGAUGUAAGACGAAGGUCUAUUUAAUUUUUAAUUCAGU